rnacentral:rRNA from 1 species
CAAUAGCGUAUAUUAAAGUUGUUGCAGUUAAAAAGCUCGUAGUUGGAUUUCGGGGCAGCCUGGCUGGUCCGCCGCAAGGCGAGUACUGGUCAGCCGCCCUUCCUCUCGAAAGCCCCGACUGCUCUUCGUUGCAGUGGGCGGGUAGUUCGGGACGUUUACUUUGAAAAAAUUAGAGUGUUCAAGGCAGGCCUACGCCUGAAUACAUUAGCAUGGAAUAAUGGAAGAGGACCUCGGUCCUAUUUUGUUGGUUUCCAGGGCCGAAGUAAUGAUUAAGAGGGACAGUUGGGGGCAUUCGUAUUUAAUUGUCAGAGGUGAAAUUCUCGGAUUUAUGAAAGACGAACAACUGCGAAAGCAUUUGCCAAGGAUGUUUUCAUUAA